rnacentral:lncRNA from 1 species
GCCAGCGUCACCUAGCUGUUCAGCCUUGAUGCCAAGGAUCAGUUCAGCCCUCUCCUCCACGACGACUACUCGGCGCUGCAGUGUGACCUCCCCAUCCUCGUUGACGACCACCUCCUUGCCCCUGGUGUCCAGCAGCACUACAUCCUCACCAAUGCCCGUGUUGCAGGCAGUGAGGCGUGCACUAAAGUUGCCUGAUCCCUUGCUGAUGCGGGCAGUGAUGGUCGCCUCCACGGAGCGCUUGACAUGAGCGU